rnacentral:rRNA from 1 species
AGAGUUUGAUCCUGGCUCAGGAUGAACGCUGGCGGCGUGCCUAACACAUGCAAGUCGAGCGAUUUACUUCGGUAAAGAGCGGCGGACGGGUGAGUAACGCGUGGGUAACCUGCCCUGUACACACGGAUAACAUACCGAAAGGUAUGCUAAUACGAGAUAAAGUACCUUUAUCGCAUGGUAGAAGUAUCAAAGCUUUUGCGGUACAGGAUGGACCCGCGUCUGAUUAGCUAGUUGGUAAGGUAACGGCUUACCAAGGCGACGAUCAGUAGCCGACCUGAGAGGGUGAUCGGCCACAUUGGAACUGAGACACGGUCCAAACUCCUACGGGAGGCAGCAGUGGGGAAUAUUGCACAAUGGGCGAAAGCCUGAUGCAGCAACGCCGCGUGAGCGAUGAAGGCCUUCGGGUCGUAAAGCUCUGUCCUCAAGGAAGAUAAUGACGGUACUUGAGGAGGAAGCCCCGGCUAACUACGUGCCAGCAGCCGCGGUAAUACGUAGGGGGCUAGCGUUAUCCGGAAUUACUGGGCGUAAAGGGUGCGUAGGUGGUUUCUUAAGUCAGAGGUGAAAGGCUACGGCUCAACCGUAGUAAGCCUUUGAAACUGGGAAACUUGAGUGCAGGAGAGGAGAGUGGAAUUCCUAGUGUAGCGGUGAAAUGCGUAGAUAUUAGGAGGAACACCAGUUGCGAAGGCGGCUCUCUGGACUGUAACUGACACUGAGGCACGAAAGCGUGGGGAGCAAACAGGAUUAGAUACCCUGGUAGUCCACGCCGUAAACGAUGAGUACUAGCUGUCGGAGGUUACCCCCUUCGGUGGCGCAGCUAACGCAUUAAGUACUCCGCCUGGGGAAGUACGCUCGCAAGAGUGAAACUCAAAGGGAAUUGACCGGGGGCCCGCCCAAGCGGUGGAGCAGGUGGGUUAAUUGAAGCAAGGCGAAGAACCUUACCAGGUCUUGACAUCUUCUGACAAUCCUAGAGAUAGGACUUUCCCUUCGGGGACAGAAUGACAGGUGGUGCAUGGUUGUCGUCAGCUCGCGUCGUGAGAUGUUGGGUUAAGUCCCGCAACGAGCGCAACCCUUAUUGUUAGUUGCCAGCAUUAAGUUGGGCACUCUAGCAAGACUGCCGGUGACAAACCGGAGGAAGGUGGGGAUGACGUCAAAUCAUCAUGCCCCUUAUGACCUGGGCUACACACGUGCUACAAUGGACGGUACAACGAGUCGCAAGACCGCGAGGUUUAGCAAAUCUCUUAAAGCCGUUCUCAGUUCGGAUUGUAGGCUGCAACUCGCCUACAUGAAGUCGGAAUCGCUAGUAAUCGCGGAUCAGCAUGCCGCGGUGAAUACGCUCCCGGGCCUUGCACACACCGCCCGUCA